rnacentral:rRNA from 1 species
UAGUCCUUGCUGUAAACGUUGUGCAUUAGGUGUUAGCGGAAUCGAUCCUGUUAGCGUCGCAGUUAACGCGUUAAAUGCACUGCCUGGGAAGUACGGUCGCAAGACUAAAACUCAAAGAAAUUGACGGGGACCCGCACAAGCGGUGGAGUACGUGGCUUAAUUCGAUGCAACGCGAAAAACCUUACCUGGUCUUGACAUGUAGAGUUCAAACGUGGAAACACGUUGGCCCCAAAGGCGAUCUACACAGGUGCUGCAUGGCUGUCGUCAGCUCGUGUCGUGAGAUGUUGGGUUAAGUCCCGCAACGAGCGCAACCCUCAUGUUUUGUUGUCCAGCCUUUUGAUGGCUUUAAAUUAGAGUCGAAUCAAAAGGCUGGACCCUCUAAACAGACCGCCCUGUUCAACGGGGAGGAAGGUGGGGAUGACGUCAAGUCAGUAUGGUCCUUACGACCAGGGCUGCACACGUACUACAAUGCUUGGUAUAGUGAGAAGCAAAACCGCGAGGUGGAGCCAAUCUUUAAAACCAAGCCU